UACAGAGGGUGCAAGCGUUGUUCGGAAUUACUGGGCGUAAAGCGCGUGUAGGCGGUUUAGUAAGUCGGUUGUGAAAUCCCUUGGCUUAACCAAGGAACUGCAUCCGAAACUGUUAGACUGGAGUAUCGGAGGGGGUGGCGGAAUUCCCGGUGUAGAGGUGAAAUUCGUAGAUAUCGGGAGGAACACCUGUGGCGAAGGCGGCCACCUGGAAGAUUACUGACGCUGAGACGCGAAAGCGUGGGGAG
rnacentral:rRNA from 1 species